UGCUUAAUACAUGCAAGUCGUGCGAGAAAGUACCCUUCGGGGUGCGAGUAGAGCGACGGACGGGUGAGUAACACGUAAGCAACCUGCCUCUAAAUCUGGGAUAACCUUGCUAACGCGGGGCUAAUACCGGAUGUGAUCCAUAAAUCACAUGGUUAUUGGAUUAAAGGUGACCUCUUCUUGAAAGUUACUGUUUAGAGAUGGGCUUGCGGACCAUUAGCUUGUUGGUAGGGUAACGGCCUACCAAGGCUGCGAUGGUUAGCCGACCUGAGAGGGUGAUCGGCCACAUUGGGACUGAGAUACGGCCCAGACUCCUACGGGAGGCAGCAGUAGGGAAUUUUGCGCAAUGGACGAAAGUCUGACGCAGCAACUCCGCGUGAGGGAUGAAGGCCUUCGGGUUGUAAACCUCUGUUGAGUGGGAAGAAAAAGCCUUAUACUAAUAUUAUAAGGCCAUGACGGUACCAUUCGAGGAAGCACCGGCUAACUACGUGCCAGCAGCCGCGGUAAUACGUAGGGUGCUAGCGUUGUUCGGAAUUACUGGGCGUAAAGAGAGCGUAGGCGGAAAGGUAAGUUAGAAGUGAAAUGCAUCGGCUCAACCGGUGACCUGCUUUUAAAACUGCUUUUCUUGAGUAUUGGAGAGGAUGAUGGAAUUCCAGGUGUAGCGGUGGAAUGCGUAGAUAUCUGGAAGAACACCAGUUGCGAAGGCGGUCAUCUGGCCAAAUACUGACGCUGAGGCUCGAAAGCUAGGGGAGCGAACAGGAUUAGAUACCCUGGUAGUCCUAGCCGUAAACGAUGGACACUAGAUGCCGGAAGUGUUAUGCUUUCGGUGUCGAAGCUAACGCAUUAAGUGUCCCGCCUGGGGAGUACGCUCGCAAGGGUGAAACUCAAAGGAAUUGACGGGGGCCCGCACAAGCGGUGGAGCAUGUGCUUUAAUUCGAUGCAACGCGAAGAACCUUACCUGGUCUUGACAUGGGAGUGAAACUAUCCAGAGAUGGAAAGCUUUCCUUCGGGAACACUCUACACAGGUGCUGCAUGGUUGUCGUCAGCUCGUGUCGUGAGAUGUUGGGUUAAGUCCCGCAACGAGCGCAACCCCUGUCCUUAGUUGCCAGCACGUCAUGGUGGGAACUCUAGGGAGACUGCCUGGAUUAACCAGGAGGAAGGUGGGGAUGACGUCAAAUCCUCAUGGCCCUUACGACCAGGGCUA
rnacentral:rRNA from 1 species